rnacentral:rRNA from 1 species
AGUGAACGCUGGCGGUAGGCCUAACACAUGCAAGUCGAACGGCAGCACAGUAAGAGCUUGCUCUUACGGGUGGCGAGUGGCGGACGGGUGAGGAAUACAUCGGAAUCUACUUUUUCGUGGGGGAUAACGUAGGGAAACUUACGCUAAUACCGCAUACGACCUACGGGUGAAAGCAGGGGAUCUUCGGACCUUGCGCGAUUGAAUGAGCCGAUGUCGGAUUAGCUAGUUGGCGGGGUAAAGGCCCACCAAGGCGACGAUCCGUAGCUGGUCUGAGAGGAUGAUCGGCCACACUGGAACUGAGACACGGUCCAGACUCCUACGGGAGGCAGCAGUGGGGAAUAUUGGACAAUGGGCGAAAGCCUGACCCAGCCAUACCGCGUGGGUGAAGAAGGCCUUCGGGUUGUAAAGCCCUUUUGUUGGGAAAGAAAAGCAGCAGGUUAAUACCCCGCUGUUCUGACGGUACCCAAAGAAUAAGCACCGGCUAACUUCGUG